rnacentral:rRNA from 2 species
UUGACCUCGGAUCAGGUAGGGAUACCCGCUGAACUUUA